CGAGGGGUAACAGGGUCUUCGGACUGCUGACGACCGGCGCACGGGUGAGUAACGCGUAUACAAUCUGCCUAUUACUAAGAGAUAGCCCAGAGAAAUUUGGAUUAAUAUUUUAUGGCAUUACGACUUGGCAUCGAGUUGUAAUUAAAGGUUACGGUAAUAGAUGAGUAUGCGUCCUAUUAGCUUGAUGGUAAGGUAACGGCUUACCAUGGCUACGAUAGGUAGGGGUCCUGAGAGGGAGAUCCCCCACACUGGUACUGAGACACGGACCAGACUCCUACGGGAGGCAGCAGUGAGGAAUAUUGGACAAUGGGAGCAAUCCUGAUCCAGCCAUGCCGCGUGCAGGAAGACUGCCCUAUGGGUUGUAAACUGCUUUUAUACAGGAAGAAAAAGUCCGACGUGUCGGGUGUUGACGGUACUGUAAGAAUAAGGAUCGGCUAACUCCGUGCCAGCAGCCGCGGUAAUACGGAGGAUCCAAGCGUUAUCCGGAAUCAUUGGGUUUAAAGGGUCCGUAGGCGGGACAAUAAGUCAGUGGUGAAAGUCUGCAGCUCAACUGUAGAAUUGCCAUUGAUACUGUUGUUCUUGAGUGCUUGUGAAGUGGUUAGAAUGAGUAGUGUAGCGGUGAAAUGCAUAGAUAUUACUCAGAAUACCGAUUGCGAAGGCAGAUCACUAACAAUUCACUGACGCUGAUGGACGAAAGCGUAGGUAGCGAACAGGAUUA
rnacentral:rRNA from 1 species